GACGAACGCUGGCGGCGCGCUUAACACAUGCAAGUCGAGCGAAGCGGCGGACGGGUGAGUAACACGUGAGUAACCUGCCUUAGACAUUGGGAUAGCCUCGGGCAACCGGGAUUAAUACCAAAUGGUCUAAGAUGGACUCGCGUCCCAUUAGCUAGUUGGUAGGUAACGGCCCCCCAAGGCGACGAUGGGUAGCCGGCCUGAGAGGGUGAGCGGCGACAUUGGAACUGAGAAACGGUCCAAACUAUACGGGAGGGAGCAGUGGGGAAUAUUGCACAAUGGAGGGAACGAUGAUGCAGCGAGGCCGCGUGAACGAAGAAGGCUUUCGAGUCGUAAAGUUCUUUUAUAUGGGAAGCGGUACCAUAAGAAAAAGCACCGGCUAACUACGUGCCAGCAGCCGCGGUAAUUC
rnacentral:rRNA from 1 species